rnacentral:lncRNA from 1 species
AUGGAGACAGGCAAUGGUAACCAACAUCUAAGAAUUCCUCCUUCUGGAACAGCCAGAGGUGACUGAGUAUCAUCCCCUCCUCCUCAGCCUGUUCCUGUAUACAUAUAUGAUUGUCACAGCGAGGAAACUGAGCAUCAUCAUCUUGGCCAUCAGCUUCACUUCCACCUGUGCAUGCCCAUGCACUUCUCCAUAGCCCAUCUAUCCUAUGUUGAUAUAUGCUUCACCUCUGUCGCUGUACUAAAGAUGCUGUUACACAUCCAAACCCAGAACAAGGCCAUUUCCUAUGACAGGUGCCUUCUUAAAUGCAUUUUCAUGUUUAUUUCUAGAAGUGGACAAUGUCUACUGGACAGCGAUAGAAUAUGGUGGAUCUGUAGUAGUGUGCCUCUGAUAUAAACCUAAAUUCUAUAUCUCUUCUCUGUAUGUGACUAUGAGUUUGUAAACAUCUCUUUAUUCCCCUACCCACUCACCCCUACUAGGGGUGCGUUAUCUUUCUGUGCAAUGCUCAGAAUUCCCCAUAUUUUCUAUGACCUGGAUGCAUUACUAAAGCUUUUCUGCUCAGAUAUACACCACAAUGAGCUGGUGGCUUAUACCCUAAGAAACACUCUUCUUCAUUCCUUCUUUUUCAUUUCUCCCUGCUGCUAGCACCUUUUCUUAGCCACCUUGAGACUGAAUUCUUCUCUGAGCAAGAUGAAAGUCUUUUGCACUUACAGUUUUUCAACUGUUGGUGGAACCAAACUUAAUGUGUAUUUGUUGAAGGAUUCUGUGGGCUACAAUGUAAGCUCCCAUGCUCAUUCCCUUCAUUAUAAGUUACAAAAACAUAAAGGAAGUACGCUAGGUCUUCUUUAGAGAGAUCAAGUUUUGGUCUUG